rnacentral:rRNA from 1 species
GACGAACGCUGGCGGCGUGCCUAAUACAUGCAAGUAGAACGCACAGUUUAUACCGUAGCUUGCUACACCAUACACUGUGAGUUGCGAAUGGGAGAGUAACGCGUAGGUAACCUGCCUGGGAGCGGGGGGUAACACUUGGACACGAUCGCUAAUACAGCAUAAUCUUGAUUAUUGCAUGAUAAUUGAUUGUAAGAUGCUAUUGCAUCAAUACAAGCUGGCCCCGCGUUGUAUUAGCUAGUAGGAGAGGUAACGGAUCACCUAAGCGACGAUACAUAGCCGACCUGAGAGGGGGAUCGGCCACACUGGGACUGAGACACGGCCCAGACUCCUACGGGAGGCAGCAGGAGGGAAUCUUCGGCAAUGGACGAAAGUCUUACCGAGCAACGCCGCGUGAGUGAAGGAGGGUUUCGGAUCGUAAAGCUCUGUUGUAAGAGAAGAACGGGAGUUGGAGGUGAAAGUUCACACUGUGACGGUAUCUUACCAGAAAGGGACGGCUAACUACGUG